GCACUUUUGUUAGGGAUUGAUU
rnacentral:miRNA from 1 species